rnacentral:rRNA from 1 species
CGGGACGGGGGAGUAAUGCUUGGGAAUCUAGCUUAUGGAGGGGGGUAACUACGGGAAACUGUAGCUAAUACCGCGUAAUAUCGGAAGAUUAAAGUGUGGGACCUUCGGGCCACAUGCCAUAGGAUGAGCCCAAGUGGGAUUAGGUAGUUGGUGAGGUAAAGGCUCACCAAGCCGACGAUCUCUAGCUGGUCUGAGAGGAUGACCAGCCACACUGGGACUGAGACACGGCCCAG